GAUGAACGCUGGCGGCGUGCUUAAUACAUGCAAGUCGAGCGAACAGACGCGGAGCUUGCUCCUCUGACGUUAGCGGCGGACGGGUGAGUAACACGUGGAUAACCUACCUAUAAGACUGGGAUAACUUCGGGAAACCGGAGCUAAUACCGGAUAAUAUAUUGAACCGCAUGGUUCAAUAGUGAAAGACGGCUUUGCUGUCACUUAUAGAUGGAUCCGCGCCGCAUUAGCUAGUUGGUAAGGUAACGGGUUACCAAGGCGACGAUGCGUAGCCGACCUGAGCGGGUGAUCGGCCACACUGGAACUGAGACACGGUCCAGACUCCUAAGGGAGGCAGCAGUAGGGAAUCUUGCGCAAUGGGCGAAAGCCUGACGGAGCAACGCCGCGUGAGUGAUGAAGGUCUUCGGAUCGUAAGACUCUGUUAUUAGGGAAGAACAAAUGUGUAAGUAACUAUGCACGUCUUGACGGUACCUAAUCAGAAAGCCCCGGCUAACUACGUG
rnacentral:rRNA from 1 species